CUCCUCAUUCUAAAUGGUGAAUGAGAAGGGCCGAACGGGGUCACUAUC
rnacentral:sRNA from 12 species